GAAAAAGCAAUGAGAAGAUAAGUACUGGUCCCGAUCGUCCACAGAAAGUUUGCCUGGCUGAAAACAAACGUCGAUCCAUCACGAAAAUGGUCUUUGAGCAACAUAUAGCUGAGCAAAUGUAAAGUUAUAUUGGAAGGUGUCCAUUAACGCACCGGAAUUUUUAUUUAAAGCAACGUCGUUUCUCUUUAAAUAAAGACUCUCAGAGUUGGCUGGUGUGAAUCAGUCAAAAAUUAAGGUGGCACCGCGAUUAAUCGUCCUUGGA
rnacentral:ncRNA from 1 species